GACGAACGCUGGCGGCGUGCCUAAUACAUGCAAGUUGAGCGCUGAAGGUUGGUACUUGUACCAACUGGAUGAGCAGCGAACGGGUGAGUAACGCGUGGGGAAUCUGCCUUUGAGCAGGGGACAACAUUUGGAAACGAAUGCUAAUACCGCAUAAAAACUUUAAACACAAGUUUUAAGUUUGAAAGAUGCAAUUGCAUCACUCAAAGAUGAUCCCGCGUUGUAUUAGCUAGUUGGUGAGGUAAAGGCUCACCAAGGCGAUGAUACAUAGCCGACCUGAGAGGGUGAUCGGCCACAUUGGGACUGAGACACGGCCCAAGCUCCUACGGGAGGCAGCAGUAGGGAAUCUUCGGCAAUGGACGAAAGUCUGACCGAGCAACGCCGCGUGAGUGAAGAAGGUUUUCGGAUCGGAAAACUCUGUUGGUAGAGAAGAACGUUGGUGAGAGUGGAAAGCUCACCAAGUGACGGUAACUACCCAGAAAGGGACGGCUAACUACGUG
rnacentral:rRNA from 1 species